ACUACGAGGGGUAGGAGUGAAAUCUUGUAAUCCCUGUGGGACCACCGUGUAGGCGAAGGCGUCUUACCGAGAACGGGUUCGACGGUGAGGGACGAAAGCUGGGGGCACGAACCGGAUUAGAUACCCGGGUAGUCCCGAAGCCGUAAACGAUGCUCGCUAGGUGUCAGGCAUGGCGCGACCGUGUCUGGUGCCGCAGGGAAGCCGUGAAGCCGAGCCACCUGGGAAGUACGGCCGCAAGGCGUGAAACUUAAAGGAAUUGGCGGGGGAGCACAACAACGGGUGGAGCCCUGCGGUUUAAUUGGACUCAACGCCGGACAACUCACCGGGGCGUACAGCAAUAUGUAGGCCAAGCUGAAGACUUUGCCUGAAUCGCUGAGAGGAGGUGCAUGG
rnacentral:rRNA from 1 species